UCCCUACACUUUGGUCAACAUCUGCCUG
rnacentral:piRNA from 1 species